UGUGUGUUAUUGAGCACGGUGUGCUAAUGUUUCAUUAAGAAUUUUUACAUCUGGGCUGGAGAGAUGGCUCAGCCGUUAAAGGCUAGGCUCACAACCAAAAAUAUA
rnacentral:miRNA from 14 species